GUUUCCCUCUUCCCUCGCGCCUUCUCUUCUCCCGCUCGCGGCCGGCUUGCCCUAACCGCCGCAGCGGUUUCUUCUCCUCUCCUUUUAUUUCUUUCUCUUUUCCCUCCCAAGCCACACCACCGACGCCCUCUUCCUCUCGCAUCUCCCGAUCACCACGGCCGACGCCGGCAGAAAAGAGCAACGCCGAGCCCUAGCCUCUCAGCAGUCCCUGAGCCGAUCGCCAGCACCUGAGCCCUCGCCUCUGUCUGACUUCCCCUCUUCCUGAAUCGUCGCUGUGUAGGUGGAUCUCUGUUCUUACCUUCGUAGGCAAGGACACGUUAUGCCCUAGCAGUGUCACCGACCCUGCCCUAUGCCCUAGCACCGCUGUCGUGCCACAACCAAUCCACCACCGGCGCACCCGUGCCCUAGCACUGUCGCCGGAUCCUUGAUCACCGCUGACGAGUGGAGAGGAAGUGACUAGUUAGUGGAUUCCUGCUCAAGCAGCAACCUCUGUUUCCAGCAGAAUCUUGGUCCAGCAGCCGUAAGGGUUUUGACGCGAGAUGAGCAUCUCGACAUCCUAGUUGGACCGGAUUGGACCUUUCGAUUGGAGGCGGGUUGAUGCUGUCCGGAGAGUUCCAGUCGCUAGUUCCCUGAACACCCAGAGUUAUUUGAUCUUUUUGUUAUGUCUCUUAUUGCACUAUCUGGACUUGUAUUAGUUUACCUUAUGGAUAUUGUCGAUGAACUUUAUUUGAAUUUGUUUUACUACAUGUCUGCCUAGACGGCAGAAGAGGUAAGUUGAUUUUAUCGUCGGAUUUGAGCUUUAUGAGUGUAGUGGAGUAGGACAUCAGUUUGUGCUUUAUGAGUGUAGUUAAGUAGGGUUGUUUUUUAGUAUUCUUAUUACUAUUCUAGUUUGUCAACUA